rnacentral:rRNA from 1 species
AACGAACGCUGGCGGCGUGCCUAACACAUGCAAGUCGAACGCGAAAGGGGGCAACCCCCGGUAGCGUGGCAGACGGGUGAGUAACACGUGGGUAACCUACCCGGAGGUGGGGGAUAACCCUUCGAAAGGAGGGCUAAUACCGCAUGACAUCGCGAGGACCUCGGUUCUUGCGAUCAAAGCUGGCCUCUGUUUACAAGCUAGCGCCACUGGAGGGGCCCGCGCCCCAUUAGCUAGUUGGUGAGGUAACGGCUCACCAAGGCAACGAUGGGUAGCCGGCCUGAGAGGGCGACCGGCCACACUGGAACUGCGAAACGGUCCAGACUCCUACGGGAGGCAGCAGUGAGGAAUCUUGCGCAAUGGGCGAAAGCCUGACGCAGCGACGCCGCGUGGAGGAUGAAGGUCUUCGGAUUGUAAACUCCUGUCGAGUGGGACGAAUGCCAUGAGGGUGAACAAUCCUCGUGGUUGACGGUACCGCUGGAGGAAGCCCCGGCUAACUCCGUGCCAGCAGCCGCGGUAACAC